UAAAAAAUUUUGGCGGUAUUUUAAGCUUAUUAGAGGAAUUUGCUCUGUGAUGGACACAACGCCUUAAUCUUACUUAAUUUAGUAAUUUAAAUCAGUUUGUAUACCACUAUAUUAAUUAUAUUGAAUAGUUAUAUUUAAAAUUUUUUUUAAAAAAUAUAUUAAGUCAAGGUGCAUCUAAUAAUUAUGAAUGAAGUGAAUUACAUUAAUUUUAAUGUAAUUUUUUACAUGAAAAAAUUAAUUAGGAUUUAAUAGUAAAAUACUAAUAUUAUGAGUAUUUGAAUCAAGCUCUAAAAUAUGCACAUAUCGCCCGUCGCUCUCAGAAUUGAGAUAAGUCGUAACAAAGUAAAAAUACUGGAAAGUGUUUUUUAAAAUGAAAUCAUUCGAUGUUUCAUUUACAAUGAAAAUUUUGUUGUUUAACCAUUUUAA
rnacentral:rRNA from 1 species